rnacentral:rRNA from 1 species
GAUGAACGCUGGCGGCGUGCCUAAUACAUGCAAGUAGAACGCUGAAGCUUGGUGCUUGCACCGAGCGGAUGAGUUGCGAGCGGGUGAGUAACGCGUAGGUAACCUGCCUCUUAGCGGGGGAUAACUAUUGGAAACGAUAGCUAAUACCGCAUAAAAGUCGAUAUCGCAUGAUAUUGAUUUGAAAGGUGCAAAUGCAUCACUAAGAGAUGGACCUGCGUUGUAUUAGCUAGUUGGUGAGGUAACGGCUCACCAAGGCGACGAUACAUAGCCGACCUGAGAGGGUGAUCGGCCACACUGGGACUGAGACACGGCCCAGACUCCUACGGGAGGCAGCAGUAGGGAAUCUUCGGCAAUGGGGGCAACCCUGACCGAGCAACGCCGCGUGAGUGAAGAAGGUUUUCGGAUCGUAAAGCUCUGUUGUAAGAGAAGAACGAGUGUGAGAGUGGAAAGUUCACACUGUGACGGUAACUUACCAGAAAGGGACGGCUAACUACGUG